rnacentral:rRNA from 1 species
UACGGGGGGGGCAAGCGUUAAUCGGAAUUACUGGGCGUAAAGGGCGCGUAGGCGGCGGAUCAAGUCAGGCGUGAAAUUCCUGGGCUUAACCUGGGGGCUGCGCUUGAGACUGAUGUGCUUGAGGAUGGCAGAGGCUCGUGGAAUUCCCAGUGUAGAGGUGAAAUUCGUAGAUAUUGGGAAGAACACCGGUGGCGAAGGCGGCGAGCUGGGCCAUUACUGACGCUGAGGCACGAAAGCGUGGGGAGCAAACAGG